UGCGGAAGUGGUGGAACGGCAGACACGCAUGCUUCAGGCGCAUGUGCCCAGUAUGGGCAUGAGGGUUCAAAUCCCUUUUUCCGCAU
rnacentral:tRNA from 1 species